rnacentral:rRNA from 1 species
UACGUAGGUGGCAAGCGUUGUCCGGAUUUAUUGGGUUUAAAGGGUGCGUAGGUGGUAUAUUAAGUCAGCGGUGAAAUAUGGUUGCUCAACAAUCAAUGUGCCGUUGAUACUGAUAAACUUGAGUAAAAUAGAGGCUGGUGGAAUGGAUGGUGUAGCGGUGAAAUGCAUAGAUAUCAUCCAGAACGUCAAUUGCGAAGGCAGCUGGCUAAGUUUUAACUGACACUGAGGCACGAAAGUGUGGGGAUCAAACAGG